CUGAUAAAAGGCCCGAGUGGUGCAACGCUUGAAGAAAUUGAAGCAGGAGCCAAGGGUUGGCUGAAGAACUGCCGAGCAUGCGUAAAUAGCGCCACAAAAAGGAAGCUUCCACGAGUGUGAGAGUUAAGAAACUUCCAUGAGUCAGCUGGAAACUUCCACAAGUCAUCUGGAUUGCAAGCCAUUAUUUCAUUUCUUAUUGUUCUAAAACUAAUAAGCAGUGCAUUGAAAGCUUCAAUUAUAUUUACGUACCUAUUUUACUAAUAAACAUGUUUUUACAGUUCUU
rnacentral:lncRNA from 1 species